rnacentral:miRNA from 1 species
CCGUCCACUCUUCCUGUCAAUG